UCGUUAUCAUCUUCAUUAUCAUCAUUAUCGUCAUCAUCGUUAUCGUUAUUAUUAUUAUAUUGUCGCUAUCGUCAUGAAUAUCAUUGAUAUCGUCGUUAUCAUCAUCGUUAUCGUCAUUAUCGUUAUUGUCAUUGUCGUUAUCAUCACUAUCGUCAUUGUUAUCAGCGUUAUCGUCGUUAUCAUCAUCGAUAUCAUCAUUGAUAAGAUAUUAAUGACGUAACGAUGAGCUUGUCACUGUUAUCAUCAUUAACAUCGUUAUCACUGUCAUCGUUAUCAUCAUCAUCGUCAUCGUCAUUGUCGCCAUCACCCCGGCAAUGACGUCAUCGGCACCAGUGCCACCCAGUACAAACCAGUCCGAACUGGUGCCACCACCAGUGCUGCCCAGUGUGUCCCAGUGCCCCCCAGUGUGU
rnacentral:lncRNA from 1 species